UUUUUUUUUUUUUUUUAACUAGAUACGACUUUUAUUUGUUUUUGUUGGUUGGUCGUUAGGCAUGGGAUUUCUCAAAUAUUUACAGCAAGCCAUAUUAUUUAUGAGAAAAAUAGAAUGUUAAAUUUUUAGCUAAACAAAUUCAUUGAUAUCAAAACUAUGUUUAUAAAAAUUGUUAUGAAAACUUUGAAUAACAAGUAAAUAAAUACA
rnacentral:lncRNA from 1 species